rnacentral:misc_RNA from 1 species
GAUGAAGAACGCAGCGAAAUGCGAUAAGUAAUGUGAAUUGCAGAAUUCAGUGAAUCAUCGAAUCUUUGAACGCACAUUGCGCCCGCUAGUAUUCUGGCGGGCAUGCCUGUCCGAGCGUCAUUUCAACCCUCAAGCCCCCGGGCUUGGUGUUGGGGAUCGGCGAGCCUCCGCGCCCGCCGUCCCCUAAAUCUAGUGGCGGUCUCGCUGUAGCUUCCUCUGCGUAGUAGCACACCUCGCACUGGGAAACAGCGCGGCCACGCCGUUAAUCCCCCAACUUCUGAACGUUUGACCUCGGAUCAGGUAGAAAUCCCCGCUGAACUUAAGCAUAUCAAUAAGCGGAGGA